GAUGAACGCUGGCGGCGUGCCUAAUACAUGCAAGUCGAGCGAACGGACGAGGAGCUUGCUCCUCUGACGUUAGCGGCGGACGGGUGAGUAACACGUGGAUAACCUACCUAUAAGACUGGGAUAACUUCGGGAAACCGGAGCUAAUACCGGAUAAUAUAUUGAACCGCAUGGUUCAAUAGUGAAAGACGGUUUUGCUGUCACUUAUAGAUGGAUCCGCGCCGCAUUAGCUAGUUGGUAAGGUAACGGCUUACCAAGGCGACGAUGCGUAGCCGACCUGAGAGGGUGAUCGGCCACACUGGAACUGAGACACGGUCCAGACUCCUACGGGAGGCAGCAGUAGGGAAUCUUCCGCAAUGGGCGAAAGCCUGACGGAGCAACGCCGCGUGAGUGAUGAGGGUCUUCGGAUCGUAAAACUCUGUUAUUAGGGAAGAACAAAUGUGUAAGUAACUAUGCACGUCUUGACGGUACCUAAUCAGAAAGCCACGGCUAACUACGUG
rnacentral:rRNA from 1 species